rnacentral:rRNA from 1 species
AGCGGCGCACGGGUGCGUAACGCGUGGGAACAUACCCUUGGGUGCGGAACAACGUUGGGAAACUAACGCUAAUACCGCAUAAUAUCUCCGGAUCAAAGAUUCAUCGCCCAGGGAUUGGCCCGCGUUAGAUUAGGUAGUUGGUAGGGUAACGGCCUACCAAGCCGACGAUCUAUAGCUGGUCUGAGAGGAUGAUCAGCCACACUGGAACUGAGACACGGUCCAGACUCCUACGGGAGGCAGCAGUGAGGAAUAUUGGACAAUGGGGGCAACCCUGAUCCAGCCAUGCCGCGUGAGUGACGAAGGCCUUAGGGUUGUAAAGCUCUUUCAGGUGCGAAGAUAAUGACAGUAACACCAGAAGAAGCCCCGGCUAAAUUCGUGCCAGCAGCCGCGGUAAUACGAAUGGGGCGAGCGUUGUUCGGAAUCACUGGGCGUAAAGCGUACGUAGGCGGACUGCCAAGUCAGAAGUGAAAUCCCGGGGCUUAACCCCGGAAUUGCUUUUGAAACUGGUAGUCUAGAGGCCCGGAGAGGUCAGCGGAAUUCCGAGUGUAGAGGUGAAAUUCGCAGAUAUUCGGAGGAACACCAGUUGCGUAGGCGGCUGGCUGGACGGGCACUGACGCUGAGGUACGAAAGCGUGGGGAUCAAACAGGAUUAGAUACCCUGGUAGUCCACGCCGUAAACGAUGUGUGCUAGUUGUCGGGGCCUUUAGGUCUCGGUGACGCAGCUAACGCUUAA